rnacentral:rRNA from 1 species
AUUGAACGCUGGCGGCAGGCCUAACACAUGCAAGUCGAGCGGUAACAGGAAGCAGCUUGCUGCUUUGCUGACGAGUGGCGGACGGGUGAGUAAUGUCUGGGAAACUGCCCGAUGGAGGGGGAUAACUACUGGAAACGGUAGCUAAUACCGCAUAACGUCGCAAGACCAAAGAGGGGGACCUUAGGGCCUCUUGCCAUCGGAUGUUCCCAGAUGGGAUUAGCUAGUAGGUGGGGUAACGGCUCACCUAGGCGACGAUCCCUAGCUGGUCUGAGAGGAUGACCAGCCACACUGGAACUGAGACACGGUCCAGACUCCUACGGGAGGCAGCAGUGGGGAAUAUUGGACAAUGGGCGAAAGCCUGAUGCAGCCAUGCCGCGUGUAUGAAGAAGGCCUUCGGGUUGUAAAGUACUUUCAGCGGGGAGGAAGGGAAUAAAGUUAAUACCUUUGCUCAUUGACGUUACCCGCAGAAGAAGCACCGGCUAACUCCGUG